rnacentral:rRNA from 1 species
CCUACGGGUGGCAGCAGUCGAGAAUCUUCGGCAAUGGGCGCAAGCCUGACCGAGCGACGCCGCGUGCGGGAUGAAGGCCUUCGGGUUGUAAACCGCUGUCGAGGGGAAUGAAGUGCAGGUGGGUUCUCCCAUCUGUUUGACAGAUCCCUGGAGGAAGCAUGGGCUAAGUUCGUGCCAGCAGCCGCGGUAAGACGAACCAUGCAAACGUUUGUCGGAUAAACUUGGGUUAAAGGGUGUGUUAGUGGUCUUGGAAAGCCCUCAGCCCAACUGAGGAAUUGCGCUUGAUACUGCAUGACUAGAGAAUGAUAGAGGUGGGUGGAACUGAUGGUGGAGCGGUGAAAUGCGUUGAUAUCAUCAGGAACACCAGUGGCGAAGGCGACCCACUGGGUCAUUUCUGACGCUGAGGUACGAAAGCUAGGGUAGCGAACGGGAUUAGAUACCCGAGUAGUC